rnacentral:miRNA from 10 species
CAACGAGUCCACGUCUUCAAAGA